UCGGUUAGUAGUCUUUUGCACUCCUGGGAAAAAUCAAGACGCAAAUCAGGGAACAGUUCCAUGGACAUCAGGGAAUUGACACAGACUCAGUAGACAGAAAACAAAGACUCACAAGGACAGACACAGAGUUGCACAGUUAUCAAGAAAUUUGGAAAGUGAGAGGAAAUGAACAGAAUCCCACACAGAGUCAAGGAAAGCAGAUACUCAAGAAAUCAUCUAAGCAGUUCAAGACAUGGUAAAAUGAUCA
rnacentral:lncRNA from 1 species